CAUCCUUCUCCUUCUGCCCAAGCGAUGGUCCUUCCUCUUUCUCUCUGUCAGCACAAUCCUGCCUCUCCAGAAGCGCCCCCUGAGCUGCAGCCCCGGUGAGCUGAAAGGCCCUGUGUGAUUGUCUUCCUUUCCUGAGUGUGCAGGAAGGCGGCAGUUGGCUCCCGUGACCUGCAGGGUCAGCAACCUUAUCUGGAAGCUCAGGAGGACCUAGGCCCUGCCAGCAACAGCUCUGGGCAGGCACUGUGCUACUGAGCUAAAUCCCCAGCCCCUACGUGGAGGAAUUGAAUGGGAGACACUGGAGUUGGCAGCAGGCUGGAGGAAGAAGAGGGGUGGCCCGGAGCCCAGGUGACCAGAACACACCCAUGUGCCGAGCCAGAGGUCCCCGGCGACUCCAGAAAACGUGUUGCUCUACAUCUGCACCUAGGGCGUCCUGAAACUGAGGCACCCAGAGCGAAUAAGGAUGUGCAGAAGGAAGGAGGGACAAGGACCCGGGGCCACAAUCUCCCCUCCCUCUCCAAGCAACGGCUAAUAUGACCUCAGGAGGCGGGUGUGCCUGGCAGGUGAUAGUACCCAGGAGCAGACUCACCAUUACCGCAACCUGACACCCAGCACGCUCCAGGGGGACACAUCUGCGCCUCCUUAAAAGGUUGUGGUGGGAAACACAGUGAGUGCUGCUGCUGAGUGCCACGGGAUGGAAAGGCGGGUCAUAAAAACACGACCCUGCGUCCUUAUCCACCUUAUUCCCUAGAUCUACAAGGUGUGACUUCUGGCUCUUCCCCAAAAUCAAAAUCAUCACAAAAGGGAAACAUUUUGAAUCAAUUCCGAACAUCAAGACAACCAUGACCAUGUAAAUAAAGGCAUCCGUGGAGUAGACUCCCGGAACUGCUGCAGAAAGGGGUAAGGAUGACAGGAUGGGUGUGUCUGAUGAGAGGGGAAG